GAGGCGCUGAUCACGCAUACAUUAAACUCUACUUGUUGUCUUCCCGUAUCUCCGCCUCCAAAGGGAGAUCUGGUUUCACGGACGCCUUCGACGAGCGACAGAACGAAGCGCAGCUGCUCUGUGAUAAGGUCAUGUCGUCGCUGACGACGUCAUCUGGUCUCCUUCCCUCGCGGGCGGAGUACCCGAUUAUCGGCUGCGUGGAAUUAGGCCAAAGAACAGUUUCCUCUGGAGAUGGACGAUUUUUUCCUCAAAAAUUCUCAAGCUGCAGCGUCUCAGGAAGACAAGGGUCGGGAGGGUCAUGAAAACACAUGAAAUAUAAAUCAGGGAAUGGCGAAGAAGAGAGCAGGUUGUCUUAACAACGCAGAUGCUAGCAGAACACCAACAAAUGAGAGAUGAAGAGGAGAUUUAAUGUAAACUAAUAAGAUACACGAUGAGCAGAUGAGAAGCCGUAAGAUGGCCCCUCUUUGCCUCAACUGUUGAUAAUGUUUUUAUUAUUAUGAAAUCUAUCUUUAAAUGACUUCCUGUACUUUUGGCUGUGACGACAGAAUUUUUCGUAUGUGAUAAAUAAAGUACCAAAUUAUCGUGUAUAAACGACCCCCAACGGGAAAUUCAAAUGAAGGAGAAAGUGUUGUCACAUUGACAAUUAUUCUGUUGGCGUCAUACAGUUGCCAUGGAGAGGUCAGAGUUCAACGAGGGCAUCUGACCUAGCCACAACCAAUGAGGUGCACCGAUGCAAGCGGUUGAAAAACUCUGUCUCACUCUGCGUCUCCCGUGAUUGGCCACGCCCCCUCUCCCUUAAACCCUCUCUGUCAUGGCCGCCGUGCUCCUGGGAGUGGAGGCCUAGGUAAUUUUGGUCCCCCAGAACAGAAGAGAGACUGGCAGCAUUUAAGGAGUCCAGAGGAGGUGUGUUUAUUCCCCUGAAACCGCCACCGGGCCAGUCGGGUUGCCAGAUUUCACCACUCAGUAGUGAGGUGUCUUUGGUUUAGUAGUGAGGUGUCUUUGGUUUAGUAGUGAGGUGUCUUUGGUUUAGUAGUGAGGUGUCUUUGGUUUAGUAGUGAGGUGUCUUUGGUUUAGUUGUGAGGUGUCUGUUGUGCAGUAUUGAGACGUCUGUUUUGGAGUAGUGAGGUGUCUGUAUUGAUGUUGUGAGGUGUCUGUACUGCAGUAGUGAGGUGUCUGUACUGCAGUAGUGAGGUGUCUGUACUGCAGUAGAGAGGUGUCAGUACUGCAGUAGUGAGGUGUCUGUACUGCAGUAGUGAGGUUGCCUGAUGGACAUGAUGGUGAUGAUUGAUAUAAACACCAAAAGCUUCCCUGUAGUCUAUGAGGCAGGAUCAUUGAGGAAGUCUACACGCAACAUAAAGGAGGGACUGGUCUGUGAUCUGAAGUUCCAAAAGCACAUUCCAAGCCGCCAUCUUGGAACUUCUUGACCAAACAUUCUAGAAUCAUCAAGCGGAUGUGUUAUUAUUCUUAUUAUGAUGAUGUUGAAACACCAAGAUGGCGGCCGGACAUCAUGUUAAACCCUCUUCUAUGUAUGUGUGUGUAGAUAUUAAUGUACGUAUAUUAUUACUCAUACCUGUGGGGGAUUGCUGGGGUGUUGACUGUGUACGGAGGAGGAGUUAGUACUUCUGGCCUGAAGGUUGGAGCGCAGCUCAGAGGAGGAGGUGGAGGAGGAGGACGAGGACGAGGAGGAGGAG
ensembl:lncRNA